CAUCCUCAGCAUCAGCAUCAUCUUCCUCAUUUGGGUGUGACGAGACGUCCAUCAGAGAAGGGAGGCUCCCACCACGCAGGAUACCUUUGCCUCUCUGCAGAAGACCGUUGAGACCAUCGCCCAGAGAGCCCUUCAGAGGGUUCAGAAAUUGACGGCCAAUCACGCAGAAGGCAAAGAAAGAGUAAACUGCAACUGUGACCACCUGAAGAAGAAACGAGACGGGAUAUUUAUGAGGCCAUCAAUCCUCCAUCAGCGCCCGGACAUCAGUGACCACUGUGGACUUCCCCAUUCUUUUAUCUGAAU